AUGAUCCUGUGCUCUUCAGAAAGGGGAGAGUAGCAGAGCUCACAGGGAAAACAAGAUGACAGCUGGGGGGGCCAUUACAUGGGGAGCAGGGGAAAGGACAACAGUGAGUACUUGCCACCUAGAAACUCAGAGGCAGACUAAUUGUUCAGGGUGGUUUAAUGGUAGAGUAAUUCAAGGGAGAUCUUAUACAGUAGGAUUGUGUCCCAAAAGAAGUCUGUUGGCUUGAGUUCUUUGAAGUUGGACUGGAAAAGGCACCGGAGAACAAAGCUGCAGUAUCCUCCAGAGAGUUAGCUGGACUAGGGAAUAUUAAAUCUUUUUCCUAAGUAACUUGGUGAGUGCAUGGCAAAUGGUCUACUUCAGGCUUUGGCAACCUAUGGCUCAGGGUCUACUUCAGGGUUUGGCAACCUAGGGAGCCUGAUGUGGCUUUUCUGGAGCCCCAGCUCAGCCCCCUCAAACUCUCCCUGCAGCAGGGAGCCAGCGCUGGUGCUACAGCCUUAUGGCCCCUGCAAGAUUGGAACACCAGUGCUGGAGGAGAAAGUCCUGAGCCUCUGCACGGGAUCUGGCGUGCGGGGAACAAAAUGGCUCAGUCCACCACCCUUUCCCUUCCCCCGGCGUGCAGAACAUCGGGAACCAGCAGUGGGUCUGUGUGCGCUACCGUUUUCUUUCCUCUGGGAAACACUUCCUGGAGGCUUCCCCUGCAAAUCCUUCUUGGCACAUGGGAGCAGAGGGAGGCCGUGUUAUAUGCGGCACGAAAGUAAACUCCUGCACCCCCACAUGCCCAGCCCCCUGCCAGAAGAUUGACAGAAGACCGCCUGACUGCCUGCAUGAAGCUGGAUUUGACAAGUUAUGAUGUAAACUCCAAAGAACUGUGUGAAAAGAUGCAGCAGCAGAAGCCCCAUCAAAUAAAGUCUUUGACUACAAUGUUUCGUUUAUGCUACUAUUAAUCAUUGUCGAUUGUCAAUAAUAUUAAGUUGUGUAUUUUCAGUCAUGCCAACGUGACUUCCUGUCUGGCUCUUUGUUGACCCUUGUUCUGAAUUUUGAUGUAGUUUGGCUCUUGGGUUUGGUUUGGCCUCCCAGCCAAACUAUUCAGGAUCCCCUGUCAGAGGCUCCAAGAUCUACUGGUAGAUCCUGAUGGACUGGUUGGUGACUACUGGUCUACAGCAUGUGCAUUUUUGCCCUUUCGGGGGCUUCCCAAGCUACUUAUACCUGCGACACCAAUUGCCGUUCCCGUUGGUACCGUUUUUCCUGAGAGAACAGUAGAGAGAGAGAGAGCGAGCUUAGCAUUGCGGUCAAGCCUAUUCGUACCACAAUUUACCUACCGUGAAUGUCUGUAUCUGGAGGAUCUCAUUUUCUGGACUCAGUGCUUGUUUUCUCUUAGGGAGUAGCUGCUGCUAGUGGGUCUCCAAAGCAGCCAUUAAAAGCAACAAACAGUAGGAGGGGAUUGUCAUCCAAAUGUAUCUUUGCUGCACGGUUCUCCUCUUUUUGCUACCUUUUUGUUCCCUUCUCCCACUCCAGCCUUUGUCCAAAGAAUGGAGGUCAGUGUGAAAUCCUCUCUUCUACAUCGUGCCAGAAAUGCUCGUUGUCCUUCCAACUGCUCCUUUCCCUCCUCCUCCCGCUGUUUGCUGCUGUUCUUGUGCUAGGUCGUUCUUAACUGAAGCAUCCUAGCCAAUGCCGUGCCGUUCUUAGCACUUGCUUAGAGCCCUCCCAUCCUUUUUCCUGUUUCCUUCUCUCUGUUCUCCGUUGGUCUGAUUUAGACAGUAAUCUUUUGGGUCACGGUGUCUCUGAGAGGCACGUUGCUAAUUCCCGAUGCGAUAUAAAUAUUAAGCAUUGUGAAAUACACAUGGUUUGGCUGUUUUUUUUAAAAAAAAAAGCAUUUGUGAUUUUUCAUCCCUUCAGAAAUCAUGCUUCGAUUCAGUUUAAUAAUCAUGGGGGGCCGGAUUCUGACGUUCUUAUUUAUAUUGAGUAACAUCUUGCUCCAUGAAGAGUGGCCCCGUGAGAAAUGUUUUGUUACUACUUGUGAGCGAUCACAUCUGCUCAUUGAAAGGUUGAAAUUUACCAAAAAUCGUCCCCUGAUCUGCUAUAGGAUUGCUCAUGAGUCCUGUGCUACUGGCAUGGAAUUAAAUAGGCAAUGCAACUCCUGUCUUCACAACAUGUCAGGGACAGCAAAACAUUUUGGGUCCUUGUCAGUUUGAGGAAGUGUCUGAUAUACAUGCGCUAAUAUUGGACGGCAGCUGUAAUUCAGACAAGACAGGCAUUCAGGGAUCAGAUAAACAGGGCAGCACUGUGACAGAGCACUGAGGCAUUGAUGGGCACUUUAGCAAGGCUGAGAAGUGGAACACGUGCAUAAAUGUUGACAUGUGUUUUUAACGGCUUGAAGGCAAGGCGGAAGGUGAAUCAAAUAUGAAACCUCCUGACCUUGGUAAUGCCCAUUGUAAUGACUGUAUCUCAUUUCCUUAUCUUACCAGCAGUUCCCCGAAACUGAAAGGAUAACUGCUUGGCGGUCCGUGCUUGCUUGGAAGAUCAAUAUGUUACUCUGCAGUCUGUAGUUACAGCUCUGAAAACAGCCACCCUGUGACUCUCCUUCAGGGAAGACAGACUCUAGAGAGCAGUGUUUCUUUCUCGGAGUCACUUUGAUGGUACCUAGCACCCUCUGUGUUAAGAGCUCUCCCCCACAUCAAACAGCCAUAUGCUUCCCCCAUGCGUUCCAGGCUUGUUGCUUUCGGAGACAUUGGCUUAUAAAGAGGUUUUCACUUCGUACUGCUGCUGCUUUUUUCCCAGAUCACUGCAGUCGUGGCAGAAAGUGCAGUGAAAUCUCUCUCUGUCCUGGGAAAAUGAUUAAUGUUGGAAACCGUGUUGACUAGUUCGCUUUAAUUACCACAGUAGUAAACAUCUCGUUUCAGA